UUCAUCCUGCCCAAUGACAACAUAGUUUAAUGGCCGCGGUACCCUGACCGUGCAAAGGUAGCAUAAUCAUUUGCCCCUUAAUUAGGGGCUAGCAUGAAAGGACACACGAAAGCUUCCCUGUCUCACAAUAACAAAUAAAAAUUAAUCUUCAAGUGAAAAAGCUUGAAUGAAACUGCAGGACAAGAAGACCCCGUUGAGCUUUAUUCUCUAUAGACUAAAUCAAAUAUUAAAUAUAUCAUAAACCUAAAAAGAAUUUAGUUGGGGUGACUAAGGAACACCAAAAACUUCCUUUUAUUAAUUAGGAUUAUUCUCCAUAUAAAUUGACCCAUUACAUAUGAUCAAAAAAAUAAGCUACCACAGGGAUAACAGGCUAAUCUUUCUCAAGAGCCCAAAUUGUCAGAAAGGAUUGGCACCUCGAUGUUGGCUUAGGGGCCCCUAAUGGUGCAGAAGCCAUAAAUGGUAGGUU
rnacentral:rRNA from 1 species